UCGUGGCUUUUACUGAACUUGUUAAAAUAUAAGGAAAAAAGUUCUUAGUGAGGUCAGUUUAAAAUGAAAAAAAGCAUUAAGUGGAGUAGAACAAGAAUCAGAUAUUUGGCCCCUUCUACUUUUUAUCUAUAUAAAUAAUAUAACACGUGAGAUAACUAAUAAUGGGAAACAAAUAUGCAGACGACACAAAACAUAUUUCAGCAAUUAAUGCAAUCGGAGGCAGUUGAACGUUACAGAAAGAUAAGUUAUGCAAGAAACUAUGCGAAAGAGAGUUCUUGGUGUUAUGGUAUUAUCUUAAUUGGGAAAAUCAAAUCAAAGCAACUUUAGAAAGAAAUAUUAAAAACCUGGCAAGGUGUUUAUUGCUCAAAAGAGUUUUUAACUUUAUCCGGAGUUAUUUGUUGCUUGGCCUUAGUUAAACCACUCAUAUUGUGUAACAACUUUAAGAUUUAGAGUUGACUCGAAAUGAAAAAGACAGGAAAGAAUGUAUUUUUGUGUAUUUGGAUUGGUUUACUGAUAUUUAUAUUGAUUAUUUAAGCAAUAUAUAUUACUAAAAGAUUUUUUAAGUAUAUCUUUAUUGUAAAUGU
rnacentral:lncRNA from 1 species